rnacentral:rRNA from 1 species
CAAUAGCGUAUAUUUAAGUUGUUGCAGUUAAAAAGCUCGUAGUUGGAUUUCGGAUGGGAUUUGCCGGUCCGUCGUUACGAUGUGCACUGGCCAGUCCUAUCUUGUUGUCGGGGACUAGCUCCUUGGAUUCACUUCCUGGGACUAGGAGCUGACGAGGUUACUUUGAGUAAAUUAGAGUGUUCAAAGCAAGCCUACGCUCUGAAUACAUUAGCAUGGAAUAACACGAUAGGACUCUGGCUUAUCUUGUUGGUCUGUGAGACCAGAGUAAUGAUUAAGAGGGACAGUCGGGGACAUUCGUAUUUCGUUGUCAGAGGUGAAAUUCUUGGAUUUACGGAAGACGAACAUCUGCGAAAGCAUUUGCCAAGGAUGUUUUCAUUGA